AUCCAAGUUCUACCAGGGAGGCAGCUCCCAUUCUUAUCUUCUCUCGCGCGCUUGGACACCCCGCCUUUCCCCACACGCCCCAAGCCCUAGGAGCCCACGCCGCCACCGAUGUCUCCCUCCCCGCGCCACUCGGAGUUCGCCGCCGCCGCGCCUACGUGCCGCUUCGCCGAGCCGUGGGUCCUCUUGUUUCUCGUCCGGGUUCCAAACCCUAACGAACGGGCCAUGGGGAAGGAACGCGGUGACCUCUCCGCCGAGGAACGCCUCCGCGUGGUCGCGGCGCAUGCGGUCCACGGCGAUGGCUUGUGACGCCCCCGCCCCCUUGCCGUCACGUCUCCAUCCACCCCUCUCGGAUGUACACCGCCGCCUCCUUCCCCAAAUGCCAAGCCCUAGCGAUGGAGCGCGCGGGCGAGCUAUCGGGAAGGAGAACACUCCGACGGAGAGCCCACCACUCCGCGCCGCUUCGCCGUAACGGAGGGGCUCUGGGAAAGGCGGCGACCUCUCCGCCGAGGGACGCCUCCGCCACCUUGCCGUGACGUCUCCAUGGUGAACAUAGAAGCCCAGGUGUCAACUGUUGGGAUGUUAGAGAUCACAGAUGUCGAUAAGUAACUAUUUACAUGGAUGCCCUUGCCAGGCUAUAGUGCUUCUGAUAAGGUCAUUGGAUUAUACUGAUGCCUGGUCAUGGUCUGUUCCUCUGUUGUCUGGUAAAAGGAAAGCCAAAUCCCUGAAGGACGUGGGGCGAUGGAUUCAGGUGGGUUGCCGUUACUGCCAGCACGUCAGGAACAGCCAUGCACUUGCAAUCCAACCACAACCUAAGAAUGGCGUGAUUUUUUUAACGUUGCUUGUAUAACAGAUGGAAGACUGUCGAUAGGGGAGUGAAUGCUGAUUGAUUGCAACAUGAGGCCUCAAUGGCACCGCAUUGACGCCUCACUAGUGAUUUAGCAUUAUUCCUGCUACUACUUUAGCCGGUUUUAGCUUGCGGCUCGUUGUGUAACUAUUCAGGUCCAGAGCGUAAACAUAUAAGCCGUACAUUACCGUCUUAUAGUGAAACUU